CCCUACGGGGUGCAGCAGGCAGCGAAACCUCCGCAAUGUGAGAAAUCGCGACGGGGGGAUCCCAAGUGCCAUUCUUAACGGGAUGGCUUUUCAUUAGUGUAAAGAGCUUUUGGAAUAAGAGCUGGGCAAGACCGGUGCCAGCCGCCGCGGUAACACCGGCAGCUCUAGUGGUAGCAGUUUUUAUUGGGCCUAAAGCGUCCGUAGCCGGUUUAAUAAGUCUCUGGUGAAAUCCUGCAGCUUAACUGUGGGAAUUGCUGGAGAUACUAUUAGACUUGAGAUCGGGAGAGGUUAGAGGUACUCCCAGGGUAGAGGUGAAAUUCUGUAAUCCUGGGAGGACCGCCUGUUGCGAAGGCGUCUGACUGGAACGAUUCUGACGGUGAGGGACGAAAGCUAGGGGCGCGAACCGGAUUAGAUACCCGGGUAGUCCUAGCUGUAAACGAUGCGGACUUGGUGUUGGGGUGGCUUUGAGCUGUCCCAGUGCCGAAGGGAAGCUGUUAAGUCCGCCGCCUGGGAAGUACGGUCGCAAGACUAGAAACUUAAAGGAAUUGGCGGGGGAGCACCCACAAACGCCGUGGAGCCUGCUGGUUUAAUUGGAUUCACG
rnacentral:rRNA from 1 species